AAGAGUGCGUAAUAGCUCACUGGUCGAGUGACUCUGCGCGGAAAAUGUAACGGGGCUAAGCGUACUACCGAAGCU
rnacentral:rRNA from 1 species